rnacentral:piRNA from 1 species
UAACUCAGGAGAAGCUGAUUGAAUACUG